GGGCGAUUAGCUCAGCGGAAGAGCACUGCAUUCACACUGCAGGGGUCACUGGUUCAAUCCCAGUAUCGCCCACCA
rnacentral:tRNA from 6 species